GGUUGUAGCUCAGUGGUAGAGCACAUGCCUUGCAUGCAUGAGGCUCUGGGUUAAAUCCUCAGCACUA
rnacentral:tRNA from 1 species